CCUAAAUUACUUUUAGUAGUUAACCAACCAGAUAGCCAUUAGCUAUCUAUUUUGGCUGAGCUAACAUCGAAGAUGUACAAUAUGUCUUUGCUCUACAUUUUUCUCUUCUUGAGUUGGUCCUCGGCAGCUGAAUUCUCACCAGUGAUACAAACUACCAAAGGACCGGUGAAGGGUCUCGUUUUGACGACCAUCAGAGAAUCUAAGAAAUAUCAUUCCUACAGAGGUAUCCCUUACGGCAAACCACCAAUUGGACAUCUUCGAUUUAGACCACCUGUCGAGGUAGAUCCAUGGACUAAAGAGUUCGAUGCUACAAAGGAUGGUCCUAUUUGUCCACAAAUGAAUAAUAACAAAUUCAUCGGCCAAGAGGAUUGUCUGAAUCUCAAUGUCUAUACGCCGCAGCUUCCUAAUGAUGGGAAAGACACUAAUCUUAAAGCUGUUAUGUAUUGGAUUCAUGGAGGAGCAUUCGUUUUUGGGGCAGCUUCGAAAUUUUAUUACUCUCCUGAUUAUCUGAUCGAAGAAGACAUCGUAGUCGUCACUGUUAAUUACCGGUUGGGUGCUCUUGGAUUUUUAGCGUUGCAACAUCAAAAUGCAACUGGCAAUGCAGGCCUAAAAGAUCAAAAUCUUGGUCUAAAAUGGGUUCGCGACAACAUAGCAAACUUUGGUGGUAAUCCAAACAAAGUAACGAUAGUUGGUGAAAGUUCUGGGGGCGUUAGUGUAGAUUUUCAUAUACUUUCAGAGAAAUCGAAAGGUCUAUUCCGUAGUUCAAUCGCUAUGAGUGGGGUGUCAUUAGCUUACUAUGCAUUCAGUACUCCAGAAGAUGCAACACAAACAGCUUACGAAUUCGCUAAGGAACUUGAUUCAACAGCAAUGAACGUUGACGAGUUACUUGAAUUUUAUUAUAAAGUCGAUGUAGAAAAUUUGACUAGAACAAUUUCAAACACAACGAAAAUGGAUAUUCCCUUGAAGCCAACUCUGGAAAAUCCAAAUUACGGUCCAGAUUGGUUCUUAACCGAAUGUUCGUUAAAGAGAUACGGAUCUGGAAAUUAUAAUCACGGAUCUCAUAUGUUAGGCUAUACCAAAGACGAAGUUAUUUCAUUCAUAGAUACAAUGGAAGGUAUUCUCGAUUCUGUGAAAUUUUCUUGGACAUACGCUUUACAACUUGGAAUUACAAAAAUCGACAUGCCAAAUAUAGAGUAUGGUAUAACGAAUGCCACCUUACGUCAAAUCAUAAAGACUGCUACGGAAAUUACACAAAUAUCUCCUAUAAAUUACAAGCAAAAAUUAAUGGCAAAAUUCGACGAUCCCAUUUAUUAUUAUCGAUAUGAUUUCUUUUAUAACAAAUCGCUACACAAAAUUCUAUUUGGCAUUGAUAUGGACGGUGCUGCACAUGUUGAUGAAAUAGAAAUGAUAUUUCAUUCAGAUUUAUUCCAAGUAAAUCCGAAUGUAAAGAACAGGAUGACGCUGUUACAAAAAAGGAUGACACGUAUGUGGGCAAAUUUUAUUAAAUACGGAAAUCCAACUCCAAAUGGUACCAACGAUACUUUACUAAACGUUGUUUGGCCAAAUUCGAAAGAAUCUGGUAAAAUGUUGUGGUUAAACGAUGAUUUGGAAAUACAUGAUCGAUACAAGAGUCAAGACAUCACUAUGAUCGAAACUGGGUUACAAUUAAACGGUGGACCAAGAGACGGAUGUAAUACGAAAUGGAAAAAAUAACAUACAAGAACGUUACUCGCCCAGAAUUAAGAAGAAAAUCCGUUCUUGUAUAAUUACAUCGUCCGAAAAAAAGUUGGUCCUCGGCAACUGAAUUCUCACCAGUGAUACAAACUACCAAAGGACCGGUGAAGGGUCUCGUUUUGACGACCAUCAGAGAAUCUAAGAAAUAUCAUUCCUACAGAGGUAUCCCUUACGGCAAACCACC